rnacentral:rRNA from 1 species
GAUGAACGCUGGCGGCGUGCCUAAUACAUGCAAGUCGAGCGAACGGACGAGAAGCUUGCUUCUCUGAUGUUAGCGGCGGACGGGUGAGUAACACGUGGAUAACCUACCUAUAAGACUGGGAUAACUUCGGGAAACCGGAGCUAAUACCGGAUAAUAUUUUGAACCGCAUGGUUCAAAAGUGAAAGGCGGUCUUGCUGUCACUUAUAGAUGGAUCCGCGCUGCAUUAGCUAGUUGGUAAGGUAACGGCUUACAAAGGCAACGAUGCAUAGCCGACCUGAGAGGGUGAUCGGCCACACUGGAACUGAGACACGGUCCAGACUCCUACGGGAGGCAGCAGUAGGGAAUCUUCCGCAAUGGGCGAAAGCCUGACGGAGCAACGCCGCGUGAGUGAUGAAGGUCUUCGGAUCGUAAAACUCUGUUAUUAGGGAAGAACAUAUGUGUAAGUAACUGUGCACAUCUUGACGGUACCUAAUCAGAAAGCCACGGCUAACUACGUG